CCUACGGGAGGCUGCAGUGGGGAAUAUUGCACAAUGGGGGAAACCCUGAUGCAGCAACGCCGCGUGAGUGAUGAAGUAUUUCGGUAUGUAAAGCCCUGUCAGCAGGGAAGAAAAUGACGGUACCUGAAGAAGAAGCCCCGGCUAACUACGUGCCAGCAGCCGCGGUAAUACGUGGGGGGCAAGCGUUAUCCGGAUUUACUGGGUGUAAGGGGGGCGCAGACGGCGAUGCAAGCCAGGAGUGAAAGCCCGGGGCCCAACCCCGGGACUGCUCUUGGAACUGCGUGGCUGGAGUGCAGGAGGGGCAGGCGGAAUUCCUGGUGUAGCGGUGAAAUGCGUAGAUAUCAGGAGGAACACCGGUGGCGAAGGCGGCCAGCUGGACAGCAACUGACGUUGAGGCCCGAAAGCGUGGGGAGCAAACAGGAUUAGAUACCCCGGUAGUC
rnacentral:rRNA from 1 species